ensembl:lncRNA
GAAGUGGCUUUUGAGGGGCUUGGAAAGUUUAAAAUGUCUUGAAAUUUGGCGCAUACCUCCAAUGUGAUGAGCGCUUUCUUGUUAUUUUACCAUUUUCAUUGAAUAGCGCAAAAUGGCUCCACAGCGCCCCCUACAAAAUUUCAAAUCAACAGCCCCUGCUCUGUGUUUUAUGUAUGAGUCUCAAACCUGGUAAGCUUAUGGAGGAUAUCAAGAUGUACAAAAAAAAUCUCUUGGAGCAAUAUCCCAAAUCCAACAGGAAGUCAGCCAUUUUAAAAUUAAGGUGUAAAUUUGUCGACAUUUGCCCCUCUUUUCAGGCCUCAUACUUUGACGAACUCCUCCAAGGGAUUUCAUUAGAUUUACGCGAUCUCCUGUGUGUGGAAUCUAAAGACCUUUGUGAUGUUAAAUUGCGAAGCUUUUUACGUUC